rnacentral:rRNA from 1 species
CGGAUGAGCGCUAGCGGCAGGCCUAACACAUGCAAGUCGAGGGGCAUCAUGGCGUAGCAAUACGCUGAUGGCGACCGGCGCACGGGUGCGUAACGCGUAUGGAACCUACCCACCGCAGGGGGAUAACCCGCCGAAAGGCGGACUAAUACCCCAUGGUUCCCCGACCCUGCCUGGGGUUGGGGGUAAAGCCUACGGGCGGCGGUGGAUGGCCCUGCGUGCCAUUAGCUGGCUGGUGGGGUAACGGCCCACCAGGGCGACGAUGGCUAGGGGGUCUGAGAGGACGAUCCCCCACACUGGUACUGAGACACGGACCAGACUCCUACGGGAGGCAGCAGUGAGGAAUAUUGGUCAAUGGGCGGAAGCCUGAACCAGCCAUGCCGCGUGCAGGAUGACGGCCUUCUGGGUUGUAAACUGCUUUUGCCAGGGGAUAAAAAAGACCAUGCGUGGUCAAUUGAAGGUACCUGGUGAAUAAGCCACGGCUAACUACGUG